UACGGGGGGGGCAAGCGUUGUUCGGAAUUACUGGGCGUAAAGGGCUCGUAGGCGGCCAACUAAGUCAGACGUGAAAUCCCUCGGCUUAACCGGGGAACUGCCUCUGAUACUGGAUGGCUUGAGAUUGGGAGAGGGAUGCGGAAUUCCAGGUGUAGCGGUGAAAUGCGUAGAUAUCUGGAGGAACACCGGUGGCGAAGGCGGCAUCCUGGACCAACACUGACGCUGAGGAGCGAAAGCCUGGGGAGCAAACGGG
rnacentral:rRNA from 1 species